rnacentral:rRNA from 1 species
ACGCCUGACGACCAUAGCACGCGUGAACCACCUGAUCCCUUGCCGAACUCAGAAGUGAAACCGCUUAGCGCCGAUGGUAGUGUGGGGUCUCCCCAUGCGAGAGUAGGUCAUCGUCAGGCACU